rnacentral:rRNA from 1 species
AUACGUAGGGGGCGAGCGUUGUCCGGAAUUAUUGGGCGUAAAGGGUUCGCAGGCGGUCUGAUAAGUCAGAUGUGAAAGGCAAUGGCUCAACCCUUGUAAGCAUUUGAAACUGGCAGACUUGAGUUCAGGAGAGGAAAGGGGAAUUCCUAGUGUAGCGGUGGAAUGCGUGGAUAUUAGGAGGAAUACCAGUGGCGAAGGCGGCUUUCUGGACUUAUACUGACGCUGAGGACCGAAAGCGUGGGGAGCAAACAGGAUUAGAUACCCUGGUAGUCCACGCCGUAAACGAUGAGUGCUAGGUGUUGGGGGUCAAACCUCGGUGCCGCAGCUAACGCAUUAAGCACUCCGUCUGGGGAGUACGUACGCGAGUAUGAGACACAAAAGAAUUGAGGGGG